rnacentral:lncRNA from 1 species
GGGUCUCUCCUCGGUUAGGCCUAUGGUUAUUGCUGGGGUUGGCUGCUGGGGCGAUGUCCAGCCUCGCUUCUUCUCCCUUAGGUGUGUGUUCACUGGAUUAGGGCUCAGGAUGAGAGUUGACCUUCAUGUCUUCCUGAUGGGCCUCGGUCAGCCCGCCUACAGGGUUGUGCAGCAUGGGCCAUAUAUUCUUCUCGAGUGUGCAGCUUGCUAUGCUGUGGGUUGUGCCCAGCGGGCUGGGUGACUUGGGUCACUAGCCCAUGGGUCCUCUUCAUGCCUUGUCUCAAACAUGCCACCUUCAUCUUCUAGGAUCAAUUUGAAAGCCCAUAACUCAUUAUCAUUGGUGCUUCUUUGGGCCGGUUGUCUCAGUAGCCCAUAAGGCUUCCCAGUCUUGAUGGUAUCGAUGAGCCAUCUUACCUGAUACAAGCUUGCACAAAUUGGAUCCCUGGGCUUCAUGGGAUUUGGCCUUGUCAUGGAAUCUCGACUUCGUUUCCUUGGUCAAGAAUUCUCCCUUGCCUUGUUUUUAAAUUGGUACGAAAUUUGAUGGUUGCUUGUCGCGUAACUGAAAUGCCCUCCUAGGGUCACGUCACCCAUCAUUCUUUAAAAGGAUUUGUCGUCGAAUCCAUCUCACUAUUGCAUAGUGAUAUUGGAUACAACAAGAAAGCUAAAAAGUAGUGGAAGGAGUAAGGAUGGUACUGGGGUGUUGUGGAACACAUGCGCAUGUGGAAUGGCACUAAGGUCUCAACGCCAAAAUUCAUGUUGUCCUACAACACUCGUCUCUACUAUCAAACUCACUCUCUUGGUCAAGUUGAGCGUUGGAGUUGGGAUCCC